CUGCCCUGAAACCGGAGAGCAGGUGGGGGGUGAGGGAGGCACCACUUCCUUGUCCACCUGAGUCCCCUGUCUGGGCUCAGAUGGGUGAGGGGGUGGGGUCUCCUGGGCAAGUGACUCCAUGUCUCUAGGCCUCAGUUUCUUCACCUAUAAAACAGAGGUAGCAGCCCGCAGCCCUGGACAGUAGCCAAGAUUACACAAGAUAAAACCCAUGCAGUGCUCAGAACUGGGCCCGAGUACCGGGUACGUGCUGGGAGAACAGCUAGCAAUUACGCGAUGAUGAUUACAUCCCCCCACCUGCCCUGGUGCUCAGGUUGAAAGUGCAGACUCAGAAGCCCCAUCCCUCCCCUCCCCGAGUGGGGCAGGGCACUGCAGUUAACCGUGGAGGGUGCCCCCAGGCUCAGGGGUGCGUGGCCUCCGGCUGAAUUCCUCCUGCCAUUCCGGUACACGCCAGGAGGACUGUCAGGGGAUGGCUGGAGAUGACCAGCACGCUCCCGCCCAGAGCCACCUGCACAGCAGUUGUCAGCCCCGCUGCAUAUCAGCCUCACCUGGGCAGAACCGAACACUCCAGGGGCUCGCCGCCCCCGCCCCCCCCUUCCCCCAGCACCAACUGAAUCAGAACCCAAGGCUUGGCUUCAGCAACAGUGGGUUUGGUUUUUAAAAACUUUUUUAGUAAUUUUUUAUACUCACCAUUUCAAACAUACAGAAAAAUUGCAAAAAAGCAUGCAAAGAACUCCCUACUCAGAGGCACCAAGUGUUUACACUUGGCCCACCCCUCCCACCUCCCCCUGUUAUCUAUAUAUAAAUGCCUUUGAAGCACAUGAGAGGUAAUUGCAGGCGCUCGGCUUCUUUGCUCUAGAAUCGGUCGUGGAUUUCCUAAGAACAAGGACGUGCUCUCACCUCCCACAGUCCCCGGAUCGAACCCGAGGAGCCACCGCUGACAGUGUUCUCUAAUCCAGCCCACAGGCCGAGUCAGAUCUCACCCAUAACGGCCUGUGGUCUUUUUGUCCUGGUCCAGAAGCAGGCCCAGGACCGCGCUUAGUUAUCAUGCCCGGCAUUUCUGAAAGACUCCCGAGUGAGACCCACCCUGGGAAGGGUGCUGUGACUUCCCAACACAGAGGCCCAGGGUCCCCCACCCUCGCUCCUCCCUCUAGCCUGUGGGGGCCUGGGUAGCACCCGCCUGUCCUCCCCUCCCUCCCUGCCAAAGGCCUCUCGGGACAAGUGGCCUCUCCACUGAGCGAGGCCAGGCCACCUCCUGCUCCUGGCUCCCCUCUGAUGACAGGGCACGGCCACCCUCUCCCUUUCCCACUGGCUUUUCCUCAACCCAGGAGCCCUAAGGGGGUGCAGUGAACAAGAGCCACAGUUAUGACGACAGCUGGCCCAGGAGGACUGUCCAUGCUGUGGUGCAGCCAAAGUCCCCCCAGCACUGGAGGGAAGGUGAGGGGUGGUCGGGGCCCACGGGACUCAGAUCCUCCUGCCCUCAUUGCCACAAACAAAGCUGGAGAAAUCCUUGUAAGACGGUGGGAAACGGGUCCAGCAUGCUAUUCCAGCCCAUCCCCCCUUUCCACGUACAUCCCCAACUGUCCCCUCUCCUAACCUUUGUCCAUGUCUUUCUAGACUUGUGCCGUCCGAUAGGGCAGCUGCCAGCCCCAUGUAGCUACUUAAUGAACAUUAAAAAUUCAGCUUCUCUGUUGCACUAGCUACGUUUCAAGUGAUUAACUGCUACAUGCAGCUGGUGGCUACCGUAAUGGGCAAUGCAGGUGCAGAACGUUUCCAUCAUUGCAGAAAGUUCUGUUGGACAGCAUGGCACCGUCCUCGUCCAAGUCACCGUUGGUCUGCUAUGCCGCCUCCUCCCUGGCCUCCUGCUGCUCCUUGAUGAAUCCAUUCUCCACCAGGCAGCUGGAUGGAUCUUAAAGCACAAGUAAAAUCCUGCCCCUCUCCCUUCAACUGAAACACUCAGUGGCUCUUGAUUGUCCUUUGGGUAAAUCCAGCAUCUCCUGGUGGUCCAUCUGACCUGGCACCCACGGACCUCGACCUCAUCUCCCUCUCUCGAUGCCCCCUCACUCACUGCAGUCCAGCCAAGAUGGCCUCCUCACUGUUUCUCACACCCAUCAAGCUCUUGUGCCUCAGAGCCCUUGUACUUGCUGUUCCCCACACCUGGAAUACUUUCCCUCAUUUUUGUUUUCCAUUUUCUUCCUAGCAUUUUAUUUUUAAAUAUUCAGACUGACCAUCUGCAUUAUUUCCUUUUUCAGGAUAAUUGCCUUCUCACUAUUUCUACUUAAUAAUAAUACCACCUGAUACUUCAUAUGCAUUUUACAGUGCUUUUGCCUGUAAGUGAUUAAGAAGUCCUUACAACUACCACCUGACGUGCCAGUCGGGGAACUUAGGAAUACGCCCAUUUCCGUAUAAAGAGAGUGAGUUUCAGAGAAGUGAAGCCGCCCACCUGAGGCCACUGAAUUAGUGACUGAGCCAGGACCCAACCCCAGUUCAUUAAAUUCCAAGUCAACACAGCAAUGCUCUAUUCUGCUUUGCUUUGUGCAAAAAUAGGUGCUAGGCCUCUUCGCUGCCAUGAUGCCGUUCAUCAUUCUGACAAUACAGACAUUCUCAUUCCCUUCUAGAAAUACGGCAGGAGUGGACACGCAGUUGUUAAGUGGGGCUCUGACGUCUUCCCUCAUCUCGCACAGCUGAUUCCUGUGAGAGGCCUUCCCUCCUCCCUCGAAGUCCACCCCGUUUGUCCACAAUCUUUACUCAUCCAUGGACCUGCCGUCUCCCCAUGGACUGUCUCUGCAGAAAUGUCACCUCCUCCCAGAGAACUUUCCCAAGGACUCUGACACCACAGCCUCCUUUGCAGUCUGUCGGCUUUAUUUUCCCAUGUAGCGCACACACUUCCUGACCUCGCAAUAUCCGUCUGCGUUUUUUGUCUCCCCCAUGAGCACGUAUGCCCCCUGAGGCCAGGGGCCGGCUCUGUCCUCGGGACAGUGACACACCGGGGAGACAGCAAGCUCUGCGAGUGUGGUGAACGAACAGAUGAGUGGGUGCGUGAAGACAGUGGGAAACUCAUCUACUCGUCGGUGUGGCUUUCAGCCUUGGGAGAGCACUUCGCUUCUAUCCUGUGUUAAUUCAAGCAGCCACCCGGGAGGGGAGCUGGGCCCAGGAAGUUCUUCCUGUUAAGAGCCCACGUGGCCGAGGGGGCCUUUUUCAAGGUCAUAGACAGGCUGCCUGUGAGCUGGAGUGCCAACUCAGUCCCCAACUCCAAGGUCAGCUGCCUGCCAGGCCACUCGAAACGCGCCAAUUCUCCCAGGAAGCCUUCCCCAGCCUUCCCAAUGUGGAAUUAACUUCUGGACCUCAGUUUCCUCAUCUGCGAAACGGAUAUGUGGGAAGCAGAUGGGGCUUGAUGACAAUAAUAAAAAUGGUAAAUAUGGGCAA